rnacentral:rRNA from 1 species
UACGGAGGAUCCAAGCGUUAUCCGGAUUUAUUGGGCUUAAAGGGUGCGUAGGCGGCUUUUUAAGUCAGGGGUGAAAGACGGUAGCUUAACUAUCGCAGUGCCCUUGAUACUGAAGAGCUUGAAUAUACUUGAGGUAGGCGGAAUGUGACAAGUAGCGGUGAAAUGCAUAGAUAUGUCACAGAACACCAAUUGCGAAGGCAGCUUACUAAGGUAAGAUUGACGCUGAGGCACGAAAGCGUGGGGAGCAAACAGG